rnacentral:rRNA from 1 species
UUCACGGUAUUGCAAUGAGAACAAUUUAAAACCCUUAGCGAGAAUCAAGUGGAGGACAAGUCUGGUGCCAGCACCCGCGGUAAUUCCAGCUCCACUAGCGUAUAUUAAAGUUGUUGCAGUUAAAAAGCUCGUAGUUGAACCUCUGUCUGGGGCUAGUUUUGGCUUUGGUCAGGCUAGUUCUAGGCAUCCGCCUACAAGACUUAGAGGGCAUUCAGUUGUUCACUAGGAGGAGUAGGCAUUUUACUUUGAAAAAAUUAGAGUGUUUAAGGCAGGCAAUCGCCCGCAUAUAUUAGCAUGGAAUAAUAGAAUAGGACACUUUUCCAUUUCGUUGGUUAUUGGAAUCGUGUAAUGAUUAAUAGGGACAGUUGUGGGCAUUUGUAUUUAAUUGUCAGAGGUGAAAUUCUUGGAUUUAUUAAAGACAAACUAACGCGAAAGCAUUUGCCAAGGAUGUUUUCAUUAAUCAAGAACGAAAGUUAGGGGAUCAAAGACGAUCAGAUACCGUCCUAGUCUUAACUAUAAACUAUUCCGACUCAAUGUUUGACUGGCUUAUAUAACCAGUUGAGCGUUGUAUGAGAAAUCAAAGUCUUUAGGUUCUGGGGGGAGUAUGGUUGCAAAGCUGAAACUUAAAGGAAUUGACGGAAGAGCACAACCAGGAGUGGAUUCUGCGGCUUAAUUUGACUCAACACGGGGGAAACUUACCAGGUUAAAACAAUAGUGGGAUUGACAGUUUGAGAGCGCUUUCUUGAUUGGUUGGGUGGUGGUGCAUGGCCGUUCUUAGUUGGUGGAGUGAUUUGUCUGCUUAAUUGCGUUAACGAACGAGACCUUAACCUGCUUACUAGACUGGCGAUCAUCAAUCGUUAGCUCUUCUUAGAGGGACUUUGGUUGUUUUAACUCCAAGGAAGUUUGAGGCAAUAACAGGUCUGUGAUGCCCUUAGAUAUCCUGGGCCGCACGCGUCAUACAAUGACUAGUUCAGAAAGUUUUCUCCUGACCCGAAAGGGGAUGGGUAAUCUUGAUAAUACUAGUCGUGUUAGGGAUCGAUCUUUGCAAUUAUAGAUCUUGAACGAGGAAUUCCUAGUAAGUGCGGUUCAUCAGACCGUACUGAUUACGUCCCUGCUCUUUGUACACACCGCCCGUCGCUUCUACCGAGUGGGUGGUCCGGUGAGAUAAUUGAACUUCGCAGGUAACUGAGAGGAAAGAUUAUCAAACCUAUCCACCU